rnacentral:rRNA from 1 species
AUUGAACGCUGGCGGCAGGCUUAACACAUGCAAGUCGAGCGAGAGGCGGACGGGUGCGGAAUGUAUGGGAAACUGCCUGAUGGAGGGGGAUAACUACUGGAAACGGUAGCUAAUACCGCAUACCAUCGGAUGUGCACAAAUGGGAUUAGCUAGUGGGUGGGGUAAAGGCUCACCUAGGCGACGGACCCUAGCUGGUCUGAGAGGAUGACCAUCCACACUGGAACUGAGACACGGUCCAGACUCCUACGGGAGGCAGCAGUGGGGAAUAUUGCACAAUGGGCGCAAGCCUGAUGCAGCCAGUCCGCGUGUGUGAAGAAGGCCUUCGGGUUGUAAAGCACUUUCAGCGAGGAGGCGUUACUCGCAGAAGAAGCACCGGCUAACUCCGUGCCAGCCGCCGCGGUAAUAC